rnacentral:rRNA from 1 species
UACGUAGGGUCCGAGCGUUGUCCGGAAUUACUGGGCGUAAAGAGCUCGUAGGUGGUUUGUCGCGUUGUUCGUGAAAACUCACAGCUCAACUGUGGGCGUGCGGGCGAUACGGGCAGACUAGAGUACUGCAGGGGAGACUGGAAUUCCUGGUGUAGCGGUGGAAUGCGCAGAUAUCAGGAGGAACACCCGUGGCGAAGGCGGCUCUCUGGGGACGGUACUGACGCUGAGACGCGAAAGCGUGGGGAGCGAACAGG